AGAGUUUGAUCAUGGCUCAGAACGAACGCUGGCGGCGUGGAUCAGACAUGCAAGUCGAACGAGGUUAGUCUUGUAGCAAUACAGGGCUGACUUAGUGGCGAACGGGUGCGUAACACGUGACCAACCUGCCUGAAAGUGGGGGAUAGCUCGCCGAAAGGCGAAUUAAUACCGCAUGUGGUCCGGCGAAAGCCGGAUUAAAGCAGCAAUGCGCUUUUAGAGGGGGUCGCGGCCUAUCAGCUAGUUGGUGAGGUAACGGCUUACCAAGGCAGCGACGGGUAGCUGGUCUGAGAGGACGACCAGCCACACUGGAACUGAGACACGGUCCAGACACCUACGGGUGGCAGCAGUCGAGAAUUUUUCUCAAUGGGGGAAACCCUGAAGGAGCGACGCCGCGUGGAGGAUGAAGGCUUUCGGGUUGUAAACUCCUGUCAUCUGGGAACAAAUCCCGCAAGGGUGUGAUAGUACCAGAAGAGGAAGAGACGGCUAACUCUGUGCCAGCAGCCGCGGUAAUACAGAGGUCUCAAGCGUUGUUCGGAUUCAUUGGGCGUAAAGGGCGCGUAGGCCGUGGGGUAAGUCUGGUGUGAAAUCUCGGAGCUCAACUCCGAAAUUGCACUGGAUACUGCUCUGCUAGAGGGUUGGAGAGGAGAUCGGAAUUCACGGUGUAGCAGUGAAAUGCGUAGAUAUCGUGAGGAAGACCAGUGGCGAAGGCGGAUCUCUGGACAACUCCUGACGCUGAGGCGCGAAGGCCAGGGGAGCAAACGGGAUUAGAUACCCCGGUAGUCC
rnacentral:rRNA from 1 species